rnacentral:rRNA from 1 species
CACGGGGGGAGCAAGCGUUGUUCGGAAUUACUGGGCGUAAAGGGCGCGUAGGCGGUUCGCUAAGUUGGAUGUGAAAACUCUGGGCUCAACCCAGAGCCUGCAUCCAAAACUGGCGGGCUAGAGUUCUGGAGGGGGUAGCGGAAUUCCUGGUGUAGCGGUGAAAUGCGUAGAUAUCAGGAGGAACACCGGUGGCGAAGGCGGCUACCUGGACAGAAACUGACGCUGAGGCGCGAAAGCUAGGGGAGCAAACAGG